rnacentral:rRNA from 1 species
CCUACGGGGGGCUGCAGUGGGGAAUAUUGGACAAUGGGGGCAACCCUGAUCCAGCCAUGCCGCGUGUGUGAAGAAGGCCCUCGGGUUGUAAAGCACUUUCAGUGAGGAAGAACGCCUGGUGGUUAAUACCCAUCAGGAAAGACAUCACUCACAGAAGAAGCACCGGCUAACUCCGUGCCAGCAGCCGCGGUAAUACGGAGGGUGCGAGCGUUAAUCGGAAUUACUGGGCGUAAAGCGCGCGUAGGUGGCUUGAUAAGCCGGUUGUGAAAGCCCCGGGCUCAACCUGGGAACGGCAUCCGGAACUGUCAAGCUAGAGUGCAGGAGAGGAAGGUAGAAUUCCCGGUGUAGCGGUGAAAUGUGUAGAGAUCGGGAGGAAUACCAGUGGCGAAGGCGGCCUUCUGGACUGACACUGACACUGAGGUGCGAAAGCGUGGGUAGCAAACAGGAUUAGAUACCCCAGUAGUC